ACCUGGCUGAAGUCGGUCGCUUAACCGACUGCGCCACCCAGGCGCCCCUCUAUGUCUUUCUUACAGUGUGAUGAGCCUAUAUGAGUUCAACGUUCUUCAUGUCAUAGGAACCAGUAUCAAGAAUGAUUAUCGACUUUGAUCUUCUGUCUGGCUGCAGAAUAGCUUUCUGCAUUCCUGUAACAGCUCCUGCCUCUUGCAACUGGGAGUUCCAUCUGCAUGUCAUGACUGCUCACAGUCUCUCUGUUCCACUUCAAACAUCUGGGGAGGAAAUUGGAUGGAUCCAGGUUGUAGUGGGUAUCACUCAUUAUCCAGCCGGACAAGAUCAGGAGGAAGGGGGCAGCACUGCACAAAUAUGGCUGCUGCACCUCCUGCAGUUCUGGACACAGAAGAAGCCUUACUGAAUGCUUAGACCGAUCAGUCAUUCUGAUCUCUGCUGAUAAUUGCAUAGCAUCUUCACGUUGAGGUUGUAAUCCUCAUGAAGCAUUCGUCCAGAGCCCCCCCCCCCCUCCUUGGGUACAGUGGCAGGUAUAACACAGGAAGGGAAGAUGAAGAUGCUGAAAUGUAGCAAAGCAACUAGUUUCAUUCUCCAUCAUUACCACUUCCCAGUCUCUGAACCUUCGUCUUUUUCCUUACGGGAAUGCUGAGGAAGAGUGCCUGGCCACAUUUGCCAGAGGCUGGGAGAGUCCCUAGGUUCUGUCACCAGUGCCCCCAUCACACAUCUUCACCAUUCUUUCCUACACGACUCGUUAAACAUCCCAGCUGUGGCUGAGCUCCAUUGUGACACUUAACCAGCUCAAGUUUGCUGAACUCUUGCCUCUGUCCAGAAGCAACUGGUGGCUACUACCUGAGAUAGAGAGUGAGAGAAGUGAUUUGCAGAGAUCACGGACACAUGAGAGAGUUAUUGAGACCUGAGCAUGCUUUUCUAGGAAUAAAGGCAAUUUAAAAUUGUCAGCUAGACCAAUUUUUCCCCCAUGGGUUCCUAAAGAGCAUAAUGCUACCAAUAAUAAUAAUAACUACCAUUUAAUUGUCUUAUCUACUAUUUUGGGAGCUUGCAAGUGCUUUAAAUAUGUUGAUUUGUUUAAGACAAAAGCCAGUUUCCUCAGGAAAAUGUCUUGUUUAUGCUAAAGUCUGUGCAACAAAGCAUAGAAGGAUACAAAGGGGGUGAGAUAGGGAUGACCUGCACAGCUUAGAGAUGGAGUUGCUCAGAGGUCCCUGGACCCACAUGUCCCUGAAACCUUUUAUUUUAUGGGGAUCCAGGGCCCACUAUCAACGACAUCAUAUGUAACAACUGUCUUGUUUACUUGUUUCUGUCUUGUUUACUAUUAUAUCCCUUGUACCUGAAAUAUGAUAGGUGUUCAAAAAUAUAUAUUGAAUGGAAAAACAAAUGAAUCAUUGAAUGAAUGAUUCCAUGCAAGGUCUUUCAUAUAGCAAACACAGAAGGUAUCCUAAGCUAUUGCUCUGAGCAAUAAGGAAAAGCAACUUUUGCCAAAGUAUGGCAUGCUAUUCAUCUUUCACAUUCUUGUAUCCCAUCAUUAGAGAGUGUCUGUUUUUAAAUAGGAAAUGUCUCCCUACUAGCAAAGGCAUAUUAGGCUCUUGGCAGUCAUUUGGAACUCGGAGAGAUUCUGAUUAUCAAAUCCCUUUCUUCCCAGGCAGCUAGCUGAGGCAAAACUACAGUGAGAGUUGAAGGGGAGAGGGGGAGAUAGGCAUGCAAUUCUAUGAUUCUGAGAAGAACCAAGGACAGAUGCUCUGCCUGCACCUUUCUACUGCUAUUCCCUAAUCUAAGGCCCCAAACUGUAGCUGGUUGGGGGAGAAUCCAGAGGCCCAGAGGACCAGAGGCCAUGAAUUGGCCCUCAAGAGGAAGUGCUGAAAACAUAACACUGAACUGUUCCACUGCUGAGAAACCUCAGGGCAUGCAGGGUUGAGCCAAAAGGAGCUUCUGCCAAGAGCAGCUGUCACAGCAGCAGAGAGCAGCAGCUGGGAGUUCACCGAGGAGAGAAUGGCUAAGGACGUUUUACACUAGAGAGAUCCAUCUUCUUCUUCACCUAGCAAACUAGAGAAAAUCAGAGAUGAUUAAUCAGCCACAAUUCUUCUCCCUGAUAAAAGACAAUGACAAUUACCUGUUGAAUAAGUGAGUGAGGCCAGGGAAAGGGAGAUCAUAUUUAUAAUGGUUCCUUUUCAACUCUGCUCUUAUUCCAAUACCUUUAGAGGGUGGCAAAAAAUAGGCAGAGGCUACAAAUACCUAAGGCAGG